GACGAACGCUGGCGGCGUGCUUAACACAUGCAAGUCGAACGGUAAGGCCCUUCGGGGUACACGAGUGGCGAACGGGUGAGUAACACGUGGGUGAUCUGCCCUGCACUUCGGGAUAGGCCUGGGAAACUGGGUCUAAUACCGGAUAGGACCACUGCCUGCAUGGGUGGUGGGGGAAAGCUUUUGCGGUGUGGGAUGGGCCCGCGGCCUAUCAGCUUGUUGGUGGGGUGAUGGCCUACCAAGGCGACGACGGGUAGCCGGCCUGAGAGGGUGACCGGCCACACUGGGACUGAGAUACGGCCCAGACUCCUACGGGAGGCAGCAGUGGGGAAUAUUGCACAAUGGGCGCAAGCCUGAUGCAGCGACGCCGCGUGAGGGAUGACGGCCUUCGGGUUGUAAACCUCUUUCAGCACCGACGAAGCGCAAGUGACGGUAGGUGCAGAAGAAGGACCGGCCAACUACGUGCCAGCCGCCGCUGUAA
rnacentral:rRNA from 1 species